UCAAGCGAAUAAGCGCACACGGUGGAUGCCUUGGCGGUCAGAGGCGAUGAAGGACGUGGCAGCCUGCGAAAAGUAUCGGGGAGCUGGCAACAAGCUUUGAUCCGGUAAUGUCCGAAUGGGGAAACCCACCCGCUUGCGGGUAUCCUGCAGUGAAUACAUAGCUGCUGGAAGCGAACCUGGUGAACUGAAAUAUCUAAGUAACCAGAGGAAAAGAAAUCAACCGAGAUUCCGUAAGUAGCGACGAGCGAACGCGGACUAGCCCUUAAGCUGAUUUGGUUCUAGGAAAACGCUCUGGAAAGAGCGGCCAUAGAAGGUGAUAGCCCUGUAUCUGAAAGGGCCAUUUCAGUGAAGACGAGUAGGGCGGGGCACGUGAAACCCUGUCUGAACAUGGGGGGACCAUCCUCCAAGGCUAAAUACUACUGACCGACCGAUAGUGAACCAGUACCGUGAGGGAAAGGCGAAAAGAACCCCGGAGAGGGGAGUGAAAUAGAACCUGAAACCGUGUGCGUACAAGCAGUAGGAGCUCCGCAAGGAGUGACUGCGUACCUUUUGUAUAAUGGGUCAGCGACUUACUGUUCGUGGCAAGCUUAACCGUAUAGGGGAGGCGAAGGGAAACCGAGUCUGAUAAGGGCGCAUAGUCGCGGGCAGUAGACCCGAAACCGGGUGAUCUAGUCAUGCCCAGGGUGAAGGUGCGGUAACACGCACUGGAGGCCCGAACCCACUCCCGUUGCAAAGGUAGGGGAUGAGGUGUGAUUAGGAGUGAAAAGCUAAUCGAACCCGGAGAUAGCUGGUUCUCCUCGAAAGCUAUUUAGGUAGCGCCUCAUAUGUAUCCUCUCGGGGGUAGAGCACUGUUAUGGCUAGGGGGUCAUCGCGACUUACCAAACCAUUGCAAACUCCGAAUACCGAGACGGACUGUAUGGGAGACACACGGCGGGUGCUAACGUCCGUCGUGAAAAGGGAAACAACCCAGACCCACAGCUAAGGUCCCAAAUUUUGUGCUAAGUGGAAAACCAUGUGGAAAGGCACAGACAGCCAGGAGGUUGGCUUAGAAGCAGCCACCCUUUAAAGAAAGCGUAAUAGCUCACUGGUCGAGUCGGUCUGCGGGGAAGAUUUAACGGGGCUAAGCACAGAACCGAAGCUUGGGGUGCAUAACUUUGUUAUGCGCGGUAGAGGAGCGUUCCGUAAGCCGUUGAAGGUGGAUUGAGAAGUCUGCUGGAGGUAUCGGAAGUGCGAAUGCUGACAUGAGUAACGAUAAUGCGGGUGAAAAACCCGCACGCCGAAAGCCCAAGGUUUCCUUGCGCAACGUUAAUCGGCGCAGGGUGAGUCGGCCCCUAAGGCGAGGACGAAAGUCGUAGUCGAUGGGAAGCAGGUUAAUAUUCCUGCACCUCGCGUAAGUGCGAUGGAGGGACGGAGAAGGUUAGGUGUACCAGGCGUUGGUUGUCCUGGGGAAAGGCGGUAGGUUUGGAUCUUUGGCAAAUCCGGGAUCCUUUAAGACCGAGCACCGAGACGAGCCUUUAUGGCAAAGUCACUGAUACCACGCUUCCAGGAAAAGCUCCUAAGCUUCAGCUUACGCAGACCGUACCGUAAACCGACACAGGUGGGUAGGAUGAGAAUUCUCAGGCGCUUGAGAGAACUCGGGUGAAGGAACUAGGCAACAUGGCACCGUAACUUCGGGAGAAGGUGCACCCUUUUUGGUGGCUCGUGCGAGCUAUAGCUGAAGAGGGUCGCAGUAACCAGGCCGCUGCGACUGUUUAUCAAAAACACAGCACUCUGCAAACACGAAAGUGGACGUAUAGGGUGUGACGCCUGCCCGGUGCUGGAAGGUUAAUUGAUGGGGUCAGCCGCAAGGCGAAGCUCUUGAUCGAAGCCCCAGUAAACGGCGGCCGUAACUAUAACGGUCCUAAGGUAGCGAAAUUCCUUGUCGGGUAAGUUCCGACCUGCACGAAUGGCGUAACGACAGCGGCGCUGUCUCCACCCGAGACUCAGUGAAAUUGAAAUCGCUGUGAAGAUGCAGCGUUCCCGUGGCAAGACGGAAAGACCCCGUGAACCUUUACUAUAGCUUUACACUGAACGUUGAGUUCGUCUGUGUAGGAUAGGUGGGAGGCUAUGAAACCAUGGCGCUAGCUGUGGUGGAGCCAUCCUUGAAAUACCACCCUGUCGUGCUUGACGUUCUAACCUGGGCCCAUUAUCUGGGUCGGGGACCGUGUAUGGUGGGUAGUUUGACUGGGGCGGUCUCCUCCUAAAGAGUAACGGAGGAGCUCGAAGGUACGCUCAGCGCGGUCGGACAUCGCGCACUGUGUGCAAAGGCAUAAGCGUGCUUGACUGCAAGAUCGACGGAUCAAGCAGGUAGGAAACUAGGACUUAGUGAUCCGGUGGUUCUGUAUGGAAGGGCCAUCGCUCAACGGAUAAAAGGUACUCCGGGGAUAACAGGCUGAUACCGCCCAAGAGUUCAUAUCGACGGCGGUGUUUGGCACCUCGAUGUCGGCUCAUCACAUCCUGGGGCUGUAGUCGGUCCCAAGGGUAUGGCUGUUCGCCAUUUAAAGUGGUACGCGAGCUGGGUUCAGAACGUCGUGAGACAGUUCGGUCCCUAUCUGCCAUGGGCGUUGGAGAUUUGAGAGGGGCUGCUCCUAGUACGAGAGGACCGGAGUGGACGAACCUCUGGUGUUCCGGUUGUCACGCCAGUGGCAUUGCCGGGUAGCUAUGUUCGGAAGCGAUAACCGCUGAAAGCAUCUAAGCGGGAAGCGCGCCUCAAGAUGAGAUCUCCCGGGGCACAAGCCCCCUGAAGGAACCAUGUAGACUACGUGGUUGAUAGGUCAGGUGUGUAAGUACAGCAAUGUAUUGAGCUAACUGAUACUAAUGAUCCGUGCGGCUUGACCAU
rnacentral:rRNA from 1 species